UAGAGGCAGUGUGCGGAUACAUGCAGUCGAGCGAAUUGACAGAAGUGCUUGCACCUCCCUGAUUUUAGCGGCGGACGGGUGAGUAACACGUGGGUAACCUACCUAUAAGACUGGGAUAACUUCGGGAAACCGGAGCUAAUACCGGAUAAUAUUUAGCUUCGCAUGAAGCAAUAGUGAAAGACGGUUCUGCUGUCACUUAUAGAUGGACCUGCGGUGUAUUAGCUAGUUGGUGAGGUAACGGCUCACCAAGGCAACGAUACAUAGCCGACCUGAGAGGGUGAUCGGCCACACUGGGACUGAGACACGGCCCAGACUCCUACGGGAGGCAGCAGUAGGGAAUCUUCCGCAAUGGACGAAAGUCUGACGGAGCAACGCCGCGUGAGUGAAGAAGUUUUCGGAUCGUAAAACUCUGUUGUAAGGGAAGAACAAGUACGUUAGUAACUGAACGUACCUUGACGGUACCUUACCAGAAAGCCACGGCUAACUACGUGCCAGCAGCCGCGGUAAUACGUAGGUGGCAAGCGUUAUCCGGAAUUAUUGGGCGUAAAGCGCGCGUAGGCGGUCUCUUAAGUCUGAUGUGAAAGCCCCCGGCUCAACCGGGGAGGUCAUUGGAAACUGGGAGACUUGAGUACAGAAGAGGAGAGUGGAUUCCAUGUGUAGCGGUGAAUGCGCAGAGAUAUGGAGGAACACCAGUGCGAAGCGGCUCUCUGGUCUGUAACUGACGCUGAGUGCGAAAGCGUGGGGAUCAACAGAUUAGAUACCCUGUAGUCCACGCGUAACGAUGAGUGCUAAGUGUUGGGGUUUCCGCCCUCAGUGCUGCAGCUAACGCAUUAAGCACUCCGCUAGGGAGUACGGUCGCAGACUGAAACUCAAAGAAUUUGACGG
rnacentral:rRNA from 1 species